rnacentral:sRNA from 1 species
AAGAGCAAAGCAAGGGCUGCAUGUGGGGUAUGUCCCCUAUGUAAGUCCCUCUGCACCCCCGUUUUGUAGAAGGUGGCAAAUCGGCUUCUUUCCCCAGGGACGUGUGGUGUGCUACUGCGGAAGGUGAAUGGCACAGCCAUUAUCCAGCUGCCCUCUAAGAGGCAGAUGCAGGUGCUGGAAACGUGUGUAGCAACAGUAGGCCGAGUAUCCAACGUUGAUCAUAACAAACGGGUCAUUGGCAAGGCAGGUCGCAACCGCUGGCUGGGCAAGAGGCCUAACAGUGGGCGGUGGCACCGCAAGGGAGGCUGGGCUGGCCGAAAGAUUCAGCCACUACCCCCCAUGAAGAGUUAUGUGAAGCUGCCUUCUGCUGCUGCCCAAAGCUGAUAUCCCUGUACUCUAAUAAAAUGCCCCCACCUCCUGUUUUAA